ACGAACGCUGGCGGCGUGCCUAAUACAUGCAAGUCGAACGCUUCUUUUUCCACCGGAGCUUGCUCCACCGGAAAAAGAGGAGUGGCGAACGGGUGAGUAACACGUGGGUAACCUGCCCAUCAGAAGGGGAUAACACUUGGAAACAGGUGCUAAUACCGUAUAACAAUCGAAACCGCAUGGUUUUGAUUUGAAAGGCGCUUUCGGGUGUCGCUGAUGGAUGGACCCGCGGUGCAUUAGCUAGUUGGUGAGGUAACGGCUCACCAAGGCGACGAUGCAUAGCCGACCUGAGAGGGUGAUCGGCCACAUUGGGACUGAGACACGGCCCAAACUCCUACGGGAGGCAGCAGUAGGGAAUCUUCGGCAAUGGACGAAAGUCUGACCGAGCAACGCCGCGUGAGUGAAGAAGGUUUUCGGAUCGUAAAACUCUGUUGUUAGAGAAGAACAAGGAUGAGAGUAACUGUUCAUCCCUUGACGGUAUCUAACCAGAAAGCCACGGCUAACUACGUGCCAGCAGCCGCGGUAAUACGUAGGUGGCAAGCGUUGUCCGGAUUUAUUGGGCGUAAAGCGAGCGCAGGCGGUUUCUUAAGUCUGAUGUGAAAGCCCCCGGCUCAACCGGGGAGGGUCAUUGGAAACUGGGAGACUUGAGUGCAGAAGAGGAGAGUGGAAUUCCAUGUGUAGCGGUGAAAUGCGUAGAUAUAUGGAGGAACACCAGUGGCGAAGGCGGCUCUCUGGUCUGUAACUGACGCUGAGGCUCGAAAGCGUGGGGAGCAAACAGGAUUAGAUACCCUGGUAGUCCACGCCGUAAACGAUGAGUGCUAAGUGUUGGAGGGUUUCCGCCCUUCAGUGCUGCAGCUAACGCAUUAAGCACUCCGCCUGGGGAGUACGACCGCAAGGUUGAAACUCAAAGGAAUUGACGGGGGCCCGCACAAGCGGUGGAGCAUGUGGUUUAAUUCGAAGCAACGCGAAGAACCUUACCAGGUCUUGACAUCCCGAUGCUAUUUCUAGAGAUAGAAAGUUACUUCGGUACAUCGGUGACAGGUGGUGCAUGGUUGUCGUCAGCUCGUGUCGUGAGAUGUUGGGUUAAGUCCCGCAACGAGCGCAACCCUUAUUGUUAGUUGCCAUCAUUUAGUUGGGCACUCUAGCAAGACUGCCGGUGACAAACCGGAGGAAGGUGGGGAUGACGUCAAAUCAUCAUGCCCCUUAUGACCUGGGCUACACACGUGCUACAAUGGGAAGUACAACGAGUCGCAAAGUCGCGAGGCUAAGCUAAUCUCUUAAAGCUUCUCUCAGUUCGGAUUGUAGGCUGCAACUCGCCUACAUGAAGCCGGAAUCGCUAGUAAUCGCGGAUCAGCACGCCGCGGUGAAUACGUUCCCGGGCCUUGUACACACCGCCCGUCACACCACGAGAGUUUGUAACACCCGAAGUCGGUGAGGUAACCUUUUGGAGCCAGCCGCCUAAGGUGGGAUAGAUGAUUGGGGUG
rnacentral:rRNA from 1 species